UACGUAGGGUGCGAGCGUUAAUCGGAAUUACUGGGCGUAAAGCGUGCGCAGGCGGUUAUGUAAGACAGGUGUGAAAUCCCAGGGCUCAACCUUGGAACUGCAUUUGUGACUGCAUAGCUAGAGUACGGUAGAGGGGGAUGGAAUUCCGCGUGUAGCAGUGAAAUGCGUAGAUAUGCGGAGGAACACCGAUGGCGAAGGCAAUCCCCUGGACCUGUACUGACGCUCAUGCACGAAAGCGUGGGGAGCAAACAGG
rnacentral:rRNA from 1 species